UUCUGGAGAAACAAAAAGGCAGAUAAACAGGCAAACCUCCAAGAAGAGGGGCUGGCAGGGUAGGGCAGGAAACAGAGUUUUCAAGUGAGCUUGCUGUUUAGAAGCCGAACCCAGCCUCUCUGGACCAGAGACCAGGAUGGUGAAGUUCUGUGGGACUUGGAAGGAAGAAAGUGAAAUUGCCCCUCUCAGGAGGAACCAGAAGAUGACCCUCCAGGUCCCAGGGAAACAGAGCCCGGAGGCUGAUGAGAGGUGGAUGAGCCAGGUGCACAAGCUAACAGGUCUACACUGGAAUCAUAAAUGCGUUGUUUCAGCUGGAUAUGAUGCACACGCUCUCCAGCCCUUGGGAGGUUGAGGCAGGAGGAUCAGGAAUUUGAGGCCAACACAAGCUACUUAACUUGUUUCAAUAAAUAAAUAAAGUAUUCUA